rnacentral:tRNA from 1 species
GCAUCCGUAGCUCAGUGGUAGAGCGCCGAGAUUAAUGACCUCGGACGUCGCCGGUUCGAUCCCGGCCGGAUGCA